UACGGGGGGGGCAAGCGUUGUUCGGAAUUACUGGGCGUAAAGGGCUCGUAGGCGGUCCAUCGCGUCGGGAGUGAAAAGCUGGGGCUUAACCCCAGUCCUGCUUCCGAUACGGGUGGACUAGAGGUAGGCAGGGGAGAACGGAAUUCCUGGUGUAGCGGUGAAAUGACGCAGAUAUCAGGAGGAACACCGGUGGCGAAGGCGGUUCUCUGGGCCUGUACUGACGCUGAGGAACGAAAGCGUGGGGAGCGAACAGG
rnacentral:rRNA from 1 species